rnacentral:rRNA from 1 species
CAGCCGCCGCGGUAAUACGUAGGGUGCGAGCGUUAAUCGGAAUUACUGGGCGUAAAGCGAGCGCAGACGGUUACUUAAGCAGGAUGUGAAAUCCCCGGGCUCAACCUGGGAACUGCGUUCUGAACUGGGUGACUAGAGUGUGUCAGAGGGAGGUAGAAUUCCACGUGUAGCAGUGAAAUGCGUAGAGAUGUGGAGGAAUACCGAUGGCGAAGGCAGCCUCCUGGGAUAACACUGACGUUCAUGCUCGAAAGCGUGGGUAGCAAACAGGAUUAGAUACCCUGGUAGUCCACGCCCUAAACGAUGUCAAUUAGCUGUUGGGCAACUUGAUUGCUUAGUAGCGUAGCUAACGCGUGAAAUUGACCGCCUGGGGAGUACGGUCGCAAGAUUAAAACUUAAAUGAAUUGACGG